AGAGUUUGAUCCUGGCUCAGGACGAACGCUGGCGGCGCGCCUAACACAUGCAAGUCGAACGGAGUCAAGAGGAGCUUGCUUUUCUUGACUUAGUGGCGAACGGGUGAGUAACGCGUGAGUAACCUGCCCUGGAGUGGGGGACAACAGUUGGAAACGACUGCUAAUACCGCAUAAGCCCACGGAUCCGCAUGGAUCUGCGGGAAAAGGAUUUAUUCGCUUCAGGAUGGACUCGCGUCCAAUUAGCUAGUUGGUGAGGUAACGGCCCACCAAGGCGACGAUUGGUAGCCGGACUGAGAGGUUGAACGGCCACAUUGGGACUGAGACACGGCCCAGACUCCUACGGGAGGCAGCAGUGGGGGAUAUUGCACAAUGGGGGAAACCCUGAUGCAGCGACGCCGCGUGGAGGAAGAAGGUUUUCGGAUUGUAAACUCCUGUCGUUAGGGACGAUAAUGACGGUACCUAACAAGAAAGCACCGGCUAACUACGUGCCAGCAGCCGCGGUAAAACGUAGGGUGCAAGCGUUGUCCGGAAUUACUGGGUGUAAAGGGAGCGCAGGCGGACCGGCAAGUUGGAAGUGAAAACUAUGGGCUCAACCCAUAAAUUGCUUUCAAAACUGCUGGCCUUGAGUAGUGCAGAGGUAGGUGGAAUUCCCGGUGUAGCGGUGGAAUGCGUAGAUAUCGGGAGGAACACCAGUGGCGAAGGCGACCUACUGGGCACCAACUGACGCUGAGGCUCGAAAGCAUGGGUAGCAAACAGGAUUAGAUACCCUGGUAGUCCAUGCCGUAAACGAUGAUUACUAGGUGUUGGAGGAUUGACCCCUUCAGUGCCGCAGUUAACACAAUAAGUAUUCCACCUGGGGAGUACGACCGCAAGGUUGAAACUCAAAGGAAUUGACGGGGGCCCGCACAAGCAGUGGAUUAUGUGGUUUAAUUCGACGCAACGCGAAGAACCUUACCAGGACUUGACAUCCAACUAACGAAGUAGAGAUACAUCAGGUGCCCUUCGGGGAAAGUUGAGACAGGUGGUGCAUGGUUGUCGUCAGCUCGUGUCGUGAGAUGUUGGGUUAAGUCCCGCAACGAGCGCAACCCCUAUUGUUAGUUGCUACGAAAGAGCACUCUAGCGAGACUGCCGUUGACAAAACGGAGGAAGGCGGGGACGACGUCAAAUCAUCAUGCCCCUUAUGUCCUGGGCUACACACGUAAUACAAUGGUGGCCAACAGAGGGAAGCGAAGCCGUGAGGCAGAGCAAAUCCCUAAAAGCCAUCUCAGUUCGGAUUGCAGGCUGCAACUCGCCUGCAUGAAGCUGGAAUUGCUAGUAAUCGCGGAUCAGCAUGCCGCGGUGAAUACGUUCCCGGGCCUUGUACACACCGCCCGUCACACCAUGAGAGUCGGGAACACCCGAAGUCCGUAGUCUAACCGCAAGGGGGGCGCGGCCGAAGGUGGGUCCGGUAAUUGGGGUGAAGUCGUAACAAGGUA
rnacentral:rRNA from 1 species